rnacentral:tRNA from 1 species
GGAGUUGUGGCUCAGUGGUACAGCACUUGCCUCGCACGUGAGAGACCCUGGUUUCGAUCCUCAGCACCA